UGGGGAAUUUUGGACAAUGGGCGCAAGCCUGAUCCAGCCAUGCCGCGUGCGGGAAGAAGGCCUUCGGGUUGUAAACCGCUUUUGUCAGGGAAGAAAUCUUCUGAGUUAAUACCUCGGGAGGAUGACGGUACCUGAAGAAUAAGCACCGGCUAACUACGUGCCAGCAGCCGCGGUAAUACGUAGGGUGCAAGCGUCAAUCGGAAUUACUGGGCGUAAAGCGUGCGCAGGCGGUUUUGUAAGACAGAGGUGAAAUCCCCGGGCUCAACCUGGGAACUGCCUUUGUGACUGCAAGGCUUGAGUGCGGCAGAGGGGGAUGGAAUUCCGCGUGUAGCAGUGAAAUGCGUAGAUAUGCGGAGGAACACCGAUGGCGAAGGCAAUCCCCUGGGCCUGCACUGACGCUCAUGCACGAAAGCGUGGGGAGCAAACAGGAUUAGAUACCCUGGUAGUCCACGCCCUAAACGAUGUCAACUGGUUGUUGGGAAGGUUCCUUCUCAGUAACGUAGCUAACGCGUGAAGUUGACCGCCUGGGGAGUACGGCCGCAAGGUUGAAACUCAAAUGAAUUGACGGGGUCAUAGCUGUUUCC
rnacentral:rRNA from 1 species